GAAAGAUCUCCCAUGCUCAUGGAUUGGCAGGAUUAAUUUAGUAAAAAUGGCCAUUUUACCAAAAGCCAUCUACAGAUUCAAUGCAAUCCCCAUCAAAAUACCAAUCCAAUUCUUCAAAGAGUUAGACAGAACAAUUUGCAAAUUCAUCUGGAAUAACAAAAAACCCAGGAUAGCUAAAGCUAUCCUCAACAAUAAAAGGACUUCAGGGGGAAUCACUAUCCCUGAACUCAAGCAGUAUUACAGAGCAAUAGUGAUAAAAACUGCAUGGUAUUGGUACAGAGACAGACAGAUAGACCAAUGGAAUAGAAUUGAAGACCCAGAAAUG
rnacentral:lncRNA from 1 species